GCGGACGGGUGAGUAAUGCCUAGGAAAUUGCCCUGAUGUGGGGGAUAACCAUUGGAAACGAUGGCUAAUACCGCAUAAUGCCUACGGGCCAAAGAGGGGGACCUUCGGGCCUCUCGCGUCAGGAUAUGCCUAGGUGGGAUUAGCUAGUUGGUGAGGUAAUGGCUCACCAAGGCGACGAUCCCUAGCUGGUCUGAGAGGAUGAUCAGCCACACUGGAACUGAGACACGGUCCAGACUCCUACGGGAGGCAGCAGUGGGGAAUAUUGCACAAUGGGCGCAAGCCUGAUGCAGCCAUGCCGCGUGUGUGAAGAAGGCCUUCGGGUUGUAAAGCACUUUCAGUCGUGAGGAAGGUGGUGUAGUUAAUAGCUGCAUUAUUUGACGUUAGCGACAGAAGAAGCACCGGCUAACUCCGUGCCAGCAGCCGCGGUAAUACGGAGGGUGCGAGCGUUAAUCGGAAUUACUGGGCGUAAAGCGCAUGCAGGUGGUUUGUUAAGUCAGAUGUGAAAGCCCGGGGCUCAACCUCGGAAUAGCAUUUGAAACUGGCAGACUAGAGUACUGUAGAGGGGGGUAGAAUUUCAGGUGUAGCGGUGAAAUGCGUAGAGAUCUGAAGGAAUACCGGUGGCGAAGGCGGCCCCCUGGACAGAUACUGACACUCAGAUGCGAAAGCGUGGGGAGCAAACAGGAUUAGAUACCCUGGUAGUCCACGCCGUAAACGAUGUCUACUUGGAGGUUGUGGCCUUGAGCCGUGGCUUUCGGAGCUAACGCGUUAAGUAGACCGCCUGGGGAGUACGGUCGCAAGAUUAAAACUCAAAUGAAUUGACGGGGGCCCGCACAAGCGGUGGAGCAUGUGGUUUAAUUCGAUGCAACGCGAAGAACCUUACCUACUCUUGACAUCCAGAGAACUUUCCAGAGAUGGAUUGGUGCCUUCGGGAACUCUGAGACAGGUGCUGCAUGGCUGUCGUCAGCUCGUGUUGUGAAAUGUUGGGUUAAGUCCCGCAACGAGCGCAACCCUUAUCCUUGUUUGCCAGCGAGUAAUGUCGGGAACUCCAGGGAGACUGCCGGUGAUAAACCGGAGGAAGGUGGGGACGACGUCAAGUCAUCAUGGCCCUUACGAGUAGGGCUACACACGUGCUACAAUGGCGCAUACAGAGGGCAGCAAGCUAGCGAUAGUGAGCGAAUCCCAAAAAGUGCGUCGUAGUCCGGAUUGGAGUCUGCAACUCGACUCCAUGAAGUCGGAAUCGCUAGUAAUCGUGGAUCAGAAUGCCACGGUGAAUACGUUCCCGGGCCUUGUACACACCGCCC
rnacentral:rRNA from 2 species